AAAUAUAAAGGUGAAGGAGUUCACCUAUAAAUGCUAUAAGCUGAUGACUCCUAUAAGAUA
rnacentral:ncRNA from 1 species